rfam:Picea glauca, whole genome shotgun sequence.
GUAAUGGUGUCUUUAGACACCACCUUUGUUUUUCAAAAAAAUUCCC